rnacentral:lncRNA from 1 species
AAAUAGCCAUCUUCACUUAAGAAAAUAGGAAAAAGUCUGAAGAAAUAGCAAUAGAAAGUAUAUCUCAAUUGCUUAUGAUGUUCCACCAAAAUGUUUUUCAAGAGUUAAAAAAAAAUUUCUAAUGAACACCUGGGAUGUAUUUUCAGACUGGCGAAAAGUCCACAUAGCUUUUGGCUGUUUACCCAGACAAAGAUAAUCUUAGCAGUGCAGAUACACUGCUGUCUUGAGUCCUUGAAUGAAUCUGCCUAGGUGCAAAGCUAGGACAAGAUUAGCAAAAGACUUCUUUUGGGUCACCUUUUACCUCCAGUGUAGCUGAUUUGGAGAAGGGGAUGUCAGGGUAAUUAGUAAAUAUAAUACUUGAUUAAAUGCUGACAUUAAAUAUUUUCAAGGAAGACUAGCUUGGCAGCCUGGUGAGUCAAAAUUUUGCCUUCCUACAUGCAAAAAAUUAUACCUACUAGGUCAAUGAUGAGAAUACCUUCUUCCACUUUUAUAAAGUACUAUAACAGACAUACAAAUUCAAAUAUGACACAGAUUUAGCUAAGAAAAAUCUAUAUUUAUUUUUACAAUCCAUCUGAAUUGUUUCUGCUCCUUUAAGGAUGUUAUCUCAGUUACAUUAUGGGGUACUGAUUACUUUCAGUAAAAUGUAUCAUCAGAAAUGGAAGCCUGCCACUAAAUGGGUUUUGAUCUACUAAUCUUUCAAGGGAAUUACUGUCAUGUUUUUUGUUCAGUUUAGUUUAAAAUUAAGUAUUGUUUGCAAAUCCAAAUUCUACAUAUGGGACAUAGUUUGAAUUAAAAUUCUUAUUAUAAUUCUGUACCAGUUGUAGCCUUCUAACUGGUGUUGGUGUGAUAUCUAAAUACAAUUCUAGUCUAAAAAGGCUUCACACAAUGACAGUAUCAAAUGAAAUAAAAUUCUACAGUUAUCUACAACUUUACCUUUUCUCAUUAUGUGCAUGUAUUAUAUGUAUGUAUACAAAAUCCAGUUGAGGAAAUUUCAUAACAAUUCAGCAGUGUUACACAAAAGUGACAACAAGCAAAAGAAAUCAUGCUUCACUAACUUGAUUGCCUUAUACAAUGACAAGUGACUGGAUACACAAGGAGAGAGCAGUGGAUGUUGUCUACCUCGACUUGAGUGAGGCUUUUGACACUGUCCCCCAUGAUAUCCUCUGAGGCAAGCUCAGAAAGUGCAGGCUGGACAGGUGGAUGGUGAGGUGGAUUAAGAACUGACUGAAUGGCAGGUCUCAAGGGGUUGUGAUCAGUGGCAAAGAGCCUACUUAUCUAAACAGUCUCUAAAGCAAGUCAACUGUUAUAAGACAAAUACCAUCAAGAUAUCCCUCCGAGAACAGUAAAAAGGAAAAAAUAUAUCUGAAGCAAAACCUCCCAGCAAACAAAAAAUCCCUGCUUAUUCAACAAUCUUGUAUUUUCUUCACAAUACAUGAAUAUACAAUAGAUGAAAAGUAGUUUCAGAGGAACUUAGCUAUAAGCCUUCUCUGAAGAAAAUGCCUUUAAAAUUGCACUAAAAUAAUAGUAUUGCUUCAGUGCUGCUCACUAAAUUGGGCAAAUUUAAGUAAAUCAUUCACUAAAUUGGGUGGCUUGGUUUAUUUCCCUUCCCUACCAAAUUCAAACUCCAGAAACAGAAUUUGAAGAUCAAGCUAAGUUACUUCUGAUUUUUCUACUGGUGUUGACUGAAACAUGUUCUUUUUCCACAGGCUACAAUUUACCUACUACUCUCCCCAAGUAAAUGAUAAUCUUGGCACCUCUAUUUCCUGUCUAAUUCCUCCCUCUCUGCUGCUCUCUGUAGUUAUCACUAUUUCCUUUCUCAUAUGAUCUGAGACCAAUUAUUCUCAAUGGUAUUUAAUUCUGAAGUUUGUUGUUCUCUUUCAGAUCCAAAAAAGGGGCUUCUGUGACCAAAUGCUACUUUUCAAACUGCACUAAUUGUUCCAAGAAAACAUAUUACCUGUACCUGCAGUUCCAAUCUAGCAUCUGACAAGACGUAGGAGACAGUUUGUCUGUAUAGUUUUUUAAUAAUUCUGAAACAGAUGAGAUCAGAAGAUCCUACACAAUCACUUUAUGGCAUUAGUACAGAUUGCAUUGUUUAACUACUUAAGUGAUGCCACUGAGAUCUGUGCACAAAUGAAUAUAAAAAAUCACGGGUUAGACUUCAAUAAAAUGCUAGCAAGGGUUAAAUUGUGCUUUAAUCCUGCAACAGUUGCUGCUAUUAAAUGUGCUCUUAAAUGUGCCUCAAGAUUUUCUUUAUAAUGUGUCUUGAUCUGUAAAGGAGUGUGGAAAAAAAUAACUAGGAAAUAUUAUUUCUUUCCUCAUGAUGAAGUGGAGUAAAGAAGGGAGAGCAGACCAUGUAGUGAAGUCAAAAAUACAGUGUACAAAGAAAAGUUAAAGCAGUGAUAUCAAACCUGAUAAUUAUUUACUAACUACAGUGUUAUUCACAUUGAAAUACUGCAAAUUUCAGAUGAAAAUGGGAUCUUUUCCAGUUUUCAGUUAUUUAGCUUUAAAUAGAGAAAUAGACAUUUGUCAUGAAGAAAAGGUUUUGUUAAAAAUCCAGUCAUCUGGUGAAAAAUAGAACUCUAUCAACCUAACCUAGUUGUUUUUGCAAAUUGCAUCUCAAAUAAUAAAAUAAAUUUUCUAAAUGAGUAAUGUUCUAAAUAACAAAGUCAACUUUCUCCAUUUCUCUUCUAUCACCCCACUGAGUUUAAAAUUCUACUGUUUUGAGCAUACCCACACACUAUCAGAAAGUGAAGGAAUAAACAAAUAAACACAAAUAGCACCAGAUCAUCUACAUAAUUCAUGUCUGUAAAGCAGAAGCAGACAGGAAGAUAUCAAGCAGAACAGGAGGAAACAGGGAAAGUGAGAGAGCUUUCAUGUGGGCAAUAUACUCAACCUACCAAGCACUGCAGUAAGAUCCCAGGUUAACUAUUCUUAUCCUAUUUCUAAGUAAUAAAAAGAUGACAAAUAUGAAAUACCUAAAAAAACAAAAGGAAGGUAAGUCUUGGAGACAAACACUGAGGCUCUUGAAUUCAUAUUAACAUGAAUAGCAGCAUGAGCACUCUACUCAUUUACAGAAUCUGAGAUAAAUAAUACAGAAGAGUUAAGACUAAUAAAACAUUAACAAUUUUCUCUCAAUUCUCAUAUAACCAAAACUGUUGGCCUGUUUAUGCACCACUUUAGCAAACUGAAUGGCUGACAGCAUAUGGUCUGACUAACAUGAGGUGACAGAAGUAAGAACCUUUAAAUCACCACAUUCUAAAUUAAUGUCAUGGCUAAAACGAUGGCCGUGUAAUGGCCACGUAUGAUUAUGUGGUCUUGUAUGACCCUGUUCUCUUUGUGGUGACCUGUGUAAAGGUGCCCCACAAAUUAUUUCAAAUUAUGGAAACCACAGGAUCAAUUCUGGUUAAAUACCAGUCUUUGAUUCUAUGGCUUACAUUUUUAGUGAAAAGUCUCCUUAAAAAUUAACUAUCAUAUUCUGGAUUAAUAAAGUAAAACCAAUUAAGCAAAAACCAGAAUUAUAGCAGCUCAAUAACUAAUAAAAAAUAAUGGUUAUUUCAUGGCAACUUGCAAUAAGGAUACUAUAAAAUUCUUAUUGACUUGCCUAAUUCUAUUAGAAUCCUUCUAAUGUGUUUUUAUAGACCAUAACUCAGUAGUACAGCAAGCAGAGUUUGUGCAUAAACAAGAUGACCUAGUUUUCAACAUCUGCAAGUCUUAGCUUGAAGCUUGUUUGUUACUUGAAAGGCAAUUAAAAUUUAAACAAGUGUGAAAGAACAAACUCUUACUUUCCUUGAAUUUCAGUGAAAAAAACCCAGUUACACAUCAACUAAUAUUUAAUACAGAGCCACAUCAGAACUGAAAAUAACAGCAGAUAAUUAGUAUUCGUAGUUUUUAGACAAAAACCAACAACAGAAAGAUACUAAAAUAUAUGCAAAAAUAUAAAAGAACAGUAGGGGUAAACAAUUCAGGAGAUUAGGUUGGGCAAUUCCUUUCAAACUAUAAACCAUGUACAGAAGUGUAAUUUCACAGGACAUUCUUCAAGUAAGAGAUAAGAGGCGAGUCAAUGAACUAAGCAAUAUAUGUAUUAUUGCAUGGACUACAUUAAAAAUCCAGACAUUCAUCUUGCAACAGAAACCCUCCACAUAAAAGGUGUCUUUCAAACAUCAGUAUUUACAGAGACAAACUCAUUACUCUUUUCCUCUGAUAGCAAAUUUUUUCAUUGUAUUUGUAUCUUUUACUAUUUAACUAGGAUGCAUUUGCUGUUAGUUAUUGAACAUGAUGCUUAUUACAAGCAGAAAGAUUAUACAGAUCAAAAUGAUUUCUGUUCCAAAGAGCUUGUAAACUAAACACAAGAAAACACAAGAAAAACUGCCAGAGGACCAAAGAGCAUUACAGCACCCAUUUCAAAAGGAAGCUAAAGAACCCAAGGAAUUUAUAUUUCAUGUCCCGAAAAAUGUUCUGGAAGACAAAGGUGCAAAAACUUAAUAUAAAUUAUACUAAAAAAAACUAUACUGAGUAAAUUUAGCCCCAUCCCUGUCACUGCUUCAAAGGAUGGCUUUCUAGUUAAAGCACAAAUGCUGAAGUAAACAGGACUGUAUUCAGUUACCAGCUCCUCUGCAGGACUUCAGACUUUUGGCUGAGACUGUUACUUAUUUUCUUUACUUCCAUGUGUGUUCAGAGUCCAAAUGUAUGUUACACAAAUAUAUAUGUGACAUCUACAUGAUGAAGUGCUCUAGACUUUUCUCAUGGAAAGUUUACUUGUUCCAUGCAAGGCAUAUAAAUUAUUUUCAUGACAAAAUGUGUCAUGUGUCAUUCUAGAGACAAACACUCAAAAAUAAGCACAAGACUUCUGCUUUCACAGACUAUAGUAUACAUAAAAGGAAUAACUGAUAAAGAUGAAGGAUGGGAAAUACAGCAGUCACAGGGCACUAACCCACUUUUAAAAUGAAGUAUGUACUGCCAUUCUUUGUGAACAUACAUUUAAAACACAAAUAUCAUUCAAAAAUACAAAUGCAUGAUCUGAUUACAUAAAUGUCUGAUCUUGGUGCCUCAAAGAAAUGUAGAAGAAUAUGUUGCCGUUAGCACAGAAAUAUUACUCAUUCCUUACUAUACAUUUUUGUACUUUCUGCUUCUUAUAUUUAUCUUAAAUUCAGUCUUCAUAUUGUUGUGAUUUCUUUAUUGUUUUAAUUACCACAUACUCAGACCUUUUGCUUUUAUUAAUACAAAGUAUUUUCAAAUCAUUAUGGAUACCAGAUAUAUAAAUAUGUGCUUUUACUUUGACACUGAUACUGAAUAAACUCAUAGAAUAGAAAAUAAAGACUGCAGUUUAGAACUGGGACACUAAAAUAACUGAUCAGCAUUGAAACAGCUUAAGGAGAGCUAAGUCUUGCCAAACAUCACUUUUUUCUUAAUACAGGUUCAUUUGAUCAAAGUAACUGUGUUGACAUCAAAUGCUUUGCAGAGUCUUCUAACAGGCUUAUAUGACAUUCUGAGAUACAGAAAGCAAAAAUCAGUAAUACAUAAAAUACAGUAAACGUAAUUGAGAUGUUUCAAUACAAUGGAGUGUUUCCAUGCAGGUUAUAGGUGGCUGGUUUUGGCCAACAGUAACACAGACCUAUUUAUCAUAAACUGGAGCAUGGUGGUCCAUCAUAUUCUGGUGGAA